rnacentral:rRNA from 1 species
UACGUAGGUGGCAAGCGUUGUUCGGAAUCAUUGGGCGUAAAGCGCACGUAGGCGGCCUGAUAAGUCGGGUGUGAAAGCCCUGGGCUCAACCCAGGAAGUGCACUCGAAACUGUCAGGCUUGAAUAUGGAAGAGGGUCGCGGAAUUCCCGGUGUAGAGGUGAAAUUCGUAGAUAUCGGGAGGAACACCAGUGGCGAAGGCGGCGACCUGGGCCAAUAUUGACGCUGAGGUGCGAAAGCGUGGGGAGCAAACAGG